UACGAAGGGGGCUAGCGUUGUCCGGAAUUAUUGGGCGUAAAGGGCUCGUAGGCGGUCUGUUGCGUCGGGAGUGAAAACUCAGGGCUUAACCCUGAGCCUGCUUCCGAUACGGGCAGACUAGAGGUAUGCAGGGGAGAACGGAAUUCCUGGUGUAGCGGUGAAAUGCGCAGAUAUCAGGAGGAACACCGGUGGCGAAGGCGGUUCUCUGGGCAUUACCUGACGCUGAGGAGCGAAAGUGUGGGGAGCGAACAGG
rnacentral:rRNA from 1 species